CAGUCGCCGCGGUAAUACGAAGGGGGCUAGCGUUGCUCGGAAUGACUGGGCGUAAAGGGCGCGUAGGCGGAUUGUUUAGUUAGGCGUGAAAUUCCUGGGCUUAACCUGGGGACUGCGCUUAAUACAGGCAGUCUAGAGUGAGGAAGAGGGUUGUGGAAUUCCCAGUGUAGAGGUGAAAUUCGUAGAUAUUGGGAAGAACACCGGUGGCGAAGGCGGCGACCUGGUCCUUUACUGACGCUGAGGCGCGAAAGCGUGGGGAGCAAACAGGAUUAGAUACCCGUGUAGUCCCUGUCUCUUAUAC
rnacentral:rRNA from 1 species